UAUCCCUUUAGUGACUGCUUUUAGUGACGGAUUAAACAACCAAUAACUGGCACAGUCUGAUUUCACAUCAGCCAAUCAGGUUGAUUGUCCCGCCCCUUUAACUGMGACGCUGAGAUUUAGCUCAGAUUGCGUCUAACUCCAUUGAGAGCUCAGAGCUGACGGUUGUCCCGUAAAUUGCCUGUAAGAUUGUGUUAAAUUCUACGAAGAAUCCUUUAAAUUGAUCUCCAAAAGCUUCUAACAGCCGACGUCCGGAAAAAUCCCCCGUAGUUUUGUAGCAUUGAAGCAUCGGUCAGUUUUUUUUUCUUCUUAUGAUGCACUUUUGAAGCAUCGUGCCCAGAGACAUCAAGAUCACCUUUACAAGAACUUUAUGGC